UACGUAGGCAGCAAGCGUUGUUCGGAAUUACUGGGCGUAAAGCGUGUGUAGGCGGUUGGGUAAGUCUGGUGUGAAAUCUCCCGGCUCAACUGGGAGGGUGCGCCGGAAACUGCCUGGCUAGAGUGCGGAAGAGGAGAGUGGAAUUCCUGGUGUAGCGGUGAAAUGCGCAGAUAUCAGGAGGAACACCAGUGGCGAAGGCGGUGCUCUGGGCCGGAACUGACGCUGAGGAGCGAAAGCGUGGGGAGCAAACAGG
rnacentral:rRNA from 1 species